rnacentral:rRNA from 1 species
AUACGGAGGGUCCAAGCGUUAUCCGGAAUCAUUGGGUUUAAAGGGUCCGCAGGCGGUCAAUUAAGUCAGAGGUGAAAGCCCAUCGCUCAACGAUGGAACUGCCUUUGAUACUGGUUGACUUGAGUUAUACGGAAGUAGAUAGAAUAAGUAGUGUAGCGGUGAAAUGCAUAGAUAUUACUUAGAAUACCGAUUGCGAAGGCAGUCUACUACGUAUAUACUGACGCUGAGGGACGAAAGCGUGGGGAGCGAACAGAAUUAGAUACCCCAGUAGUCC